UACGUAGGGGGCAAGCGUUGUCCGGAAUCAUUGGGCGUAAAGAGCGUGUAGGCGGUCCGGUCAGUCGGUUGUGAAAGUCAAGGGCUCAACCCUUGAAUGCCGGCCGAUACUGCCGGGCUAGAGUCCGGAAGAGGUGAGUGGAAUUCCUGGUGUAGCGGUGAAAUGCGCAGAUAUCAGGAGGAACACCCGUGGCGAAGGCGGCUCUCUGGGACGGUACUGACGCUGAGACGCGAAAGCGUGGGGAGCGAACAGG
rnacentral:rRNA from 1 species